rnacentral:rRNA from 1 species
UACGGAGGGGGCUAGCGUUGUUCGGAAUUACUGGGCGUAAAGCGCACGUAGGCGGCUUUGUAAGUUAGAGGUGAAAGCCCGGGGCUCAACUCCGGAAUUGCCUUUAAGACUGCAUCGCUUGAAUUGUGGAGAGGUGAGUGGAAUUCCGAGUGUAGAGGUGAAAUUCGUAGAUAUUCGGAAGAACACCAGUGGCGAAGGCGACUCACUGGACACAUAUUGACGCUGAGGUGCGAAAGCGUGGGGAGCAACAGG